rnacentral:rRNA from 1 species
UACGAAGGGGGCUAGCGUUGUUCGGAAUCACUGGGCGUAAAGCGCACGUAGGCGGAUCUUUAAGUCAGGGGUGAAAUCCCGAGGCUCAACCUCGGAACUGCCUUUGAUACUGGGGAUCUCGAGUCCGGGAGAGGUGGAGUGGAACUGCGAGUGUAGAGGUGAAAUUCGUAGAUAUUCGCAAGAACACCAGUGGCGAAGGCGGACUCACUGGCCCG